rnacentral:rRNA from 1 species
CUACGGGGGGCUCCAGUGGGGAAUAUUGGACAAUGGGGGAAACCCUGAUCCAGCAAUGCCGCGUGUGUGAAGAAGGCCUGCGGGUUGUAAAGCACUUUCGGUUGGGAGGACUGCUUCUAGCACUAAUAUUGUUGGAAGUUGACGUUACCUUCAGAAGAAGCACCGGCUAACUCCGUGCCAGCAGCCGCGGAAUACGGAGGGUGCAAGCGUUAAUCGGAAUUACUGGGCGUAAAGCGCGCGUAGGCGGCUAGAUCAGUCGGGUGUGAAAGCCCCGGGCUUAACCUGGGAACUGCACCCGAUACUGUCUAGCUAGAGUACAGGAGAGGAGAGUGGAAUUCCACAUGUAGCGGUGAAAUGCGUAGAUAUGUGGAGGAACACCAAUGGCGAAGGCAGCUCUCUGGCCUGAUACUGACGCUGAGGUGCGAAAGCGUGGGGAGCAAACAGGAUUAGAUACCCCUGUAGUC